rnacentral:tRNA from 2 species
GCCGAGAUAGCUCAGUCGGUAGAGCAGUGGAUUGAAAAUCCUCGUGUCACCAGUUCAAGCCUGGUUCUUGGCA